rnacentral:rRNA from 1 species
UGGGGAAUAUUGGACAAUGGGGGAAACCCUGAUCCAGCAAUGCCGCGUGAGUGAAGAAGGCCUUAGGGUUGUAAAGCUCUUUCGCCCGCGAAGAUAAUGACGGUAGCGGGAGAAGAAGCCCCGGCUAACUUCGUGCCAGCAGCCGCGGUAAUACGAAGGGGGCUAGCGUUGUUCGGAAUUACUGGGCGUAAAGCGCACGUAGGCGGACAUUUAAGUCAGGGGUGAAAUCCCAGGGCUCAACCCUGGAACUGCCUUUGAUACUGGGUGUCUUGAGUACGAGAGAGGUGAGUGGAAUUCCGAGUGUAGAGGUGAAAUUCGUAGAUAUUCGGAAGAACACCAGUGGCGAAGGCGGCUCACUGGCUCGUAACUGACGCUGAGGUGCGAAAGCGUGGGGAGCAAACA